rnacentral:rRNA from 1 species
UACAGAGGAUGCAAGCGUUAUCCGGAAUGAUUGGCGUAAAGCGUCUGUAGGUGGCUUUUAAGUCCGCCGUCAAAUCCAGGCUCAACUCUGGACAGGCGGUGGAAACUACCAAGCUGGAGUACGGUAGGGCAGAGGGAAUUUCCGGUGGAGCGGUGAAAUGACGUAGAGAUCGGAAAGAACACCAACGGCGAAAGCACUCUCGCUGGGCCGACACUGACACUGAGAGACGAAAGCUAGGGGAGCGAAUGGG